GCCAUGUCCGCGCCCAGGAUCCAAACCAGUGAAACCCUGGGCCGCCGAAGCAGAGGGCACGAACUUAACCACUCGGCCACGGGGCCCACCCUCACCUCCCUGUUGUUAAAUCAGUCUUUGUUUCUGAGGGAAGCAAGCUGCUUUAUUUAAACUGCCACAGAAUCUCAUUCUAGUUUAACGUGUGCUCCAAGGAAGUAACCGUCCAGAUGGCCAGAGAACGGUGACCGAGGCGGGUGCACACAUGUACCGUCACCAUGUUGUUCCAGAGGGCGCCCGGCUGAGCCGAGGGCUGGGUGCCGAGGCGCCUUGUGUCCUCCUGAGAAGGCACGAUGGCGGGCUGCCUUCCUCAGAGCAGGUGACGGGCUUGGGACGUGCUAGGCCCACCUGGAAACUGCGGCUGGCCUCAUUAAGCUUGAGUGAGGGUUCAGAUGCGAGUGUCUUCCAGGUCUUUGUUGUAGUUUAUGAACCAGUCAGUUCUAACCGAACUCAGCUUGAAUGCUGUUGAGAUAGUAGCACAAAUGUAUGUUUUCCUCUAGUAGAUUUUGUAAAUGUGGGUAUAUACAAUAAUUCAUAAGGCAUCUGAAAUCUUUUAUGGGACAAAAUUGGUAUACAUAGUUAUUUUGUCGUUGAAAGUUCUUUGUCCUAUAAUUGUGAAUUUUGAAGCUGUUCCAUAGAAGACUGCUCUUCGUUCCCAGGUCACUGUAGAUCCGUCUGGUGUACCGCCACCUCAGAGAGACGGUUAACCAAGCUGACCGUUAGCUGACAUCUCGGAACCCGCCAGGCUCUUCCGCUCAGCCUCCUGCAGGGGCGGCUUCCUGUGGGCAGCGGUGCAGACGCGUCGGAUCAGCUGGGCUGUGCCCAGGACCUCACCGGCUCAGCGUUACACCUGCUGCCUCUCAGCUUGGACGUGUGCACUAUCCUGUAGUGUCAUCAUGAGUGGCAAGGUGGCCUUUCCAGUUGUUUCCCUUAUCAUCAGGGAAAUCCAAAGCCUUUUUCCUAGUUCUAUGUCUUUAUAAUUUAAGGUUUCCUAAAGUUUUGUCAUGUGUUUUCCUAACCUUUGAAGACAGCUCUGCUUAUAGUGUCGGGCUGGAACAUGGGGCGAGGUGCUGGGUGUGGUUUUGGGUGAACACCCAUCAUAGCGGGAGCCGGGUGAGUUACCUAAUAGCCAAGGCUCUGUUCCUCACCGCUGCCUCCUCUGAAGAGAGACCAGCUUUACCUUUCUCAUGGGUAUUACAGGGUUUAGUGGAUUUCAAAAAAGUUGAAGUAUUUUUGGAAAGAAAUUAUUAAAAUGGGACUUUUGUAAACCAAAGCAUUUUAAUGUUUUCCUUACACUGUGGAAAGAAUCUUACAUUUGACUGAAAAGUAAGUUAGAAAUUUUUCAAAAUUGAUUUGAGAGGCCUUUGUAAUCAACCAAUUUAUUCUGAGGUUAAUUGUUAAUUUUUCUAAGAAAAUGAAGUUCCUUUUUAUAACUAACUGUAUUACCAAAAUUCCUUUCUAUUUUGUGAAAACUGUAGUGUUUAUGAAUUUAAAUUGUCAUACCUUUGUUAAGGAUCCUUAUUAAGGAUCAUGUUAAUAUAAUUUUGUGCUUGAUUUAUUUACUUUGCAUGAUCUUCAAAAGGAAGAUUUUAAGAAUUUUGUGUCAUGAAUUUUUUCAGAUGGUUACGUACUAGUUCACUGGGAAACGCAGACUAGGGUAUCCUUUGAGAAAGUUCUGGGUUUGAGUGGCUUUGAGAAGAAAAUCUCCAGCAGGGGAUGAAAGCACCUAAUUGAAGAACGGAGUCCGUGGUCCAUGCAGCGCCUGAGGCACCUUGAGGCAUCAGGAGAAGCGCUCUGCGCAGACUCCUCGCAGGUGCCCCCGUGUCCCUCUGUGGCUCUCUGCAUCGUGCUGUCCUCAGCCUCCGAGUGCCUGCAGGAUGUCCGUGAAGCUGAGCCCUGACCCAGGUGGAGUCAGGAGGCACCCCCAGCUGCACUGGCCGCCUCCACCAGGGGCUCUCUUACUGCACAGCAUGUCCAUAACUCUGUGAUUGGUGUCACAGGCCAGCUGAGAGCUGGUGCUGUCACCUGUUAACAGCCUCUGUGAAGUCUGGGGAGCAGGCAGGCCUGGUGGCCAAUGGCAGGUGUGGUCCCCGGUGAAAUGAUGGUGUCCUGUCAGCCGAAUGCUGAGCCCACACUCCAACUUGAGAACUGUCCCCGAGGCCCCUGCUGCCCAGCUCCCCUCAGGCUGCUUCCUGGAAGGGGAGAGUGCGCAGCGGAAGAACGCUGUUCCCGUCGUGCAUGCUCAGGAGGCCCACAAAGAGAAGGGCAUCGCAGACAGAAGACCAAAUCGGAAUCCCAGGUUAUGUUUCAUAUCAGCGUGAGCAUCUUAUUCUUGAAGACUUUGGAACCGAUGAAACAAUCAUAGGUGUUGCCCUGGGACUUCUGCGCUUCUGUUUCCAGGUUGCUCGCAUCAUCGGUACACGGCUUUGCUGUGUCCCUUGUCCGUGAGCCAGCCUGCUAGUUCCUCCUCUGAUCUCAGCCUGGUGACGCUUGCCGGCUCUUGGCCAUAAGUGACUUCCUGAUAGAAAAGGACCCUCAGGCUUCAGUAUCCAGCGGAGUUGGCAGCUCUGUCAGAAACGGAACUGAGGUCACUUUGAGACUACCUGCAUUCUCUUCCUGGAAGGACACCCGGCAAUAGAUGUGAAACAAAACAAGAAGCAGCCUGCAGGACAGGAAGUCGCUGCACCAAAAUGGUUUUCGCCUGCAGGAUGUGCUCUUCCUCUCACAUGUCAAUUUUGGGAAAUAGAUUGAUUCAUUUUAUAACUUUGGAAGAUACUUAUUCUUUGUUACAAGAAACAACUACUUUAUUAUAGGAACAAAAUAAUAGUAUUUGAUAACAGUUCAUUUGUCAUGUACCCUUGGAGUUUCUCUCGAUAACCAGCAUAGCUGUGUUUCCCACAGAAUUCACAUUUGUCAUUAAGAGGCUGGAACUCCGUCUACACACCAUCUGAAUUGUGACCUGGGGGCGUGUUUGCCUGGCCUCAUGCUGGCCGCAUCCCUGUUUCCUUUCCAGAUCGCUCGUGUUAGUCUGAUUACUGGGCUGUGUGCAUGGACAGACAGCGCAUACUGACUAUGUUUGGUGUUACUUUUCAGAACCUGAGCUACAGAGCUUGAGUUGGCUAAUUGAUAAGCUGUGUUUUAUAUUACAUUCCUUGUACCUUCCUGGAAAGGAAUUUGACCUUUGCAAAAACUAUGAUAAGUGAUCAUUAAAGAGGUGUUUGUAAAAUAAAUUGAAUAUCACUUCCUAAUAAGUGUUAAUCACAACACAGUGUGUCAGAAUUUAUGGAAUGCAGCUAAACAGUGCUUGGAGGGAAAUUAAUAGCGGUAAAUACCUCUGUUCAGAAGAUCUCAAAUCAAAAGUGUAAGCUUCCACCUUAGAAAUCUAGAAGAAGAAGAGCAAAAUAAAUCCAAAGCAAACCAAAGGAAAGAAAGAAUAAAGGUUAGUAUGGAAGUAAGUGAAAUAGGAACCAAAAGUGAAGAAAAAUCAAUAGUUGGAUUUGAAAAGAUCAAGUUUGGCAAACUUUUAGCUACACUGACCAAGAAAGAAAGAGAAGAUACAAACUUCCAAUAUCAGGAUGAGAGGAGACAUUAUUACCAACCUUACAGAAAUUAAAGGAAUUGUAAGGAAAUACUAUGAGCAACUUUAUGCCAACACAUUGGACAAUUCAGGUGAAAUGGACACAUCGUAGAAACACAGAAAUUACCAAAACUUAGUCAAAGACAAAUGCGUU
ensembl:lncRNA